AUGCCUCAAGCCCCUCACCUGUAAAAUGCUAGGGCACAGUUCAGAGCUCAAAGAGGCAUUGUCUUGUCCAAGGCUGCCUACAAGGUGUUCAAGUGAAGGCCUGUGUAUCAGCAAAAUAAGGCAACAAGCACCCUGGUGUGACGUACCAAAUAAAAUGGCUUGUGUUUCGAAGUGAUGAUCCAACAUCAGUUUAAGUUCCUCUUACAUUGCGUAAAGGUACAGUACAGCAAACGAGACAACCUGGCCUCUGCCCGAACGGUUAAAACUGCAUCUUGAAUGGGCUGCUGCAAAGGGAACUCACUUCCAGUGAGGAACAAGACUUGGGAGGGAAAUGUAGUGCAUCCAGAACGAAAUGCUGCUAGAAAACCAAGAGUGUAUCCUUGCUUUGGCUGAGAAAGCUAUGGUGAAGAACUUUUAAAGUGAUCGCUGAGAAGUGGGGAUAGGGUGGGGGUGAGGAGAAGAGGAAGGACAAGUUUUGUCUCACCAAUUAUGGAAGUACUGAAAAUCUCUAGAGCUGCUCUGGAAUCUUAGGCAUAAUUCAAAAUCAAGAAUCAGCAUAUAAACAGCAAUGUCUUCAAAGUUAAGCAUGGAUUUCUGCAUACUUUUGGUUUCACUUACUAGCAAGACAGUCAGUGGGAUGUAGUGGUUAGAUUUUUGAACUAAGAACCUGAGAGACCAGCUUUCAAAAAGCCAUUGAGCCAUGAAGCUCUUUGGCUGACCUUGGACUGGUUACCAUUUCUCAGUCUGAACUACAGCACAAGGCUGUUAUGAAGAUAAAGUGUUGGUGAGGAACUUCAUACAGAAGCUGGAGGUUAAAAAAUAAAAUAAAAAGAAGCAAGACCGAACCACCUCAUUCCUUGCUUCAAGGCUGCAACUGACAAUAUCCAACCUCUGCUGGAACUAGCAGGAGAGGAAAAGGGCAGCACAAAAGGUCCAGUCUUCCUUUUCUUCCUCCCCACUCCUGCUUCUUCUGUCUAGGAACAAUUGAACGUAUAGAUUUCACCCCCACUCAAGAUCUGAGCCUCAGUUGGCCUUUGGCACUCAUGGCUCUCCUUUGGUGGGAGGAAAUCUGAAAAGCCCCCCUUCACAUUAGAAACAGUGAAAGAUGGGACUGCAUCACACUUCUUUCCCUGAGACAGGAAUACUAACGAAUCAAUGCUCAGUGUGGGACAGCAGGACAAGGCUGGACCCAUCCAGCCAUCUGUAUUCAUCAUGCCCGAAGUGCAAUACCAAAAGAGAAGCAUGUGUGUGCAAUGGCCAAUCCUGCCCCAGGAAAAUGUUGCUCGGUAAGUGCUGCCAUUUUCAGUGGCUAUUCAGGGAGCCUGCCGCAGGUGUCCUUAAGAUCCAGAACAGAUGGGGACAUACAACAACAAAUCAGUACUCCCAUAUUAAAGCUGCAGAUGCCUCUUGUGCUAAUGAGUUAUAUGCUCUGGGCUUUGAUCCUAGGUCUGUCUGAGAUAGCAGAAAUGCUGACACUUGGGAUGGAGGACAAACAAACAAUGAAAUCCCUGUGGAGCUAGAGCAGAUGUCCAUGAUAGUGUCUGAAAGCCAGCAGAUGGGUCCUGGGUUGCUGCCACAUUCAAGAGGAGGAAAAGGAAAUUGGGCUGCUCCACAGGGUAGGGUCUGUUUAAAUCUCCACUUGACCUGUGGUACUCCGAAAUGAUACAUCACUAAUUUUCAUCAGACAGCCAAACUUGGCAGAAAGUAGUUGAAAACAAAAGAAAAAUGCUAAUUGCAGGAUAAGUGCAACUCUUGGGGUUUGUGGGGGGCUCAUGUCAUCAUAUGGCUGAAAAGCCUUUGGUGAAUAUAUCUUUGUGCCCUUAGGGUGGGCCAAUGGUAAAUGUGAACAAAAGAGAAAAUUGGGGUGUUUAGACAUAGUGCCCAGCCACUGAGAUGCAAGAUGGCCAUUUGAACAUAGUGAUUGCAUGAUGGUGGCAGCCACAUGGGAAAGCUGUUGGUUGGCAGCAUCUGGCCAUUAAGAAGAGUAUGACUGUGCUCCCACUCUGAAGUA